GACGAACGCUGGCGGCGUGCUUAACACAUGCAAGUCGAACGGGCCCGCUCUCUUUUUUGGGGGUGGGUUGAGUGGCGAACGGGUGAGUAUCACGUGAGUAACCUGCCCCCUGCUCCUGGAUAACUGCUUGAAAGGGCGGCUAAUACGGGGUGUGCCGGCUGGUCCGCAUGGGCCUGGUCGGGAUAGUUUCAUCUUCGGGUGUUUCGGUGGGGGAUGGGCUCGCGGCCUAUCAGCUUGUUGGUGGGGUGAUGGCCCACCAAGGCGGUGACGGGUAGCCGGCCUGAGAGGGUGGGCGGCCACACUGGGACUGAGACACGGCCCAGACUCCUGCGGGAGGCAGCAGUGGGGGGUAUUGCACAAUGGGCGGAAGCCUGAGGCAGCGACGUCGCGUGAGGGGUGGAGGCCUUCGGGUUGUGAACCUCUUUCUCCGGUGGUGAAGGCCCUGUCCGUUGCGGCGGGGUUGACGGUAGCCGGGUAUGAAGCGCCGGCUAACUACGUG
rnacentral:rRNA from 1 species